rnacentral:lncRNA from 1 species
UUUAUAUAUGCACAUGCGGAAGCAGUUAUAAAUCCCCAGACAAUAAAACAAUGGGAUGGAUUAGGACUAGAAAAUUGAACCUGAAAGUCAACACCCUUAUGCUCAUAUACAAGCCAUACUAAAACGAUUGGUUUCUACUCAAAUUGAUUCUAUAACAAUCGUCAUUAGGAUCCUACUUUGGAUCAUCCUCGGGGUUCUCCUUCACGUACUCCUCCUCAGGUUCCUCAACAGGGAUCUCCUCAUCAGAUUCAUGCUCCUUAGGCUCCUCAUCCAGGUUCUGAAAUGGUUAUUCAAUAACCAUUGAGACAACGUCUCAGCAAGUUCUACCUCCUAAGACCCGAUUAGUAAACUAAUAC